UAAGGAAUAUUGGACAAUGGGCGGAAGCCUGAUCCAGCCAUGCCGCGUGAAGGAAGAAGGCGCUCAGCGUUGUAAACUUCUUUUGGACGGGAACAAAGGCAUCUCUGCGGAGGUGUUUGAGGGUACUGUCAGAAUAAGCACCGGCUAACUCCGUGCCAGCAGCCGCGGUAAUACGGAGGGUGCAAGCGUUAUCCGGAAUCACUGGGUUUAAAGGGUGCGUAGGCGGUUUGUUAAGUCAGUUGUGAAAUUCCCUCGCUUAACGAGUGGGACUGCGAUUGAUACUGAUGAACUUGAAUCAGGUUGAGGUGAGCGGAAUGUGGCAUGUAGCGGUGAAAUGCAUAGAUAUGCCAUAGAACACCGAUUGCGAAGGCAGCUUGCUGGGCCUUGAUUGACGCUGAGGCACGAAAGCGUGGGGAGCAAACAGG
rnacentral:rRNA from 1 species